rnacentral:rRNA from 1 species
AUGGAGCUUUAGACACCAGGCAGAUCACGUCAAGUAAACUUAAAUUAACAAGUAGAAACGCAGUGACCCCUAGCCCAUAUGUCUUUGGUUGGGGCGACCGCGGGGGAAAAUAAAGCCCCCAUGUGGACUGGGGGCACUGCCCCCACAGCCGAGAGCUACAGCUCUAAGCACCAGAAUUUCUGACCAAAAAUGAUCCGGCGAACGCCGAUCAACGGACCG